CAGUUUCCAGAAAAUUCGGUUCAAUUCCUUCACCACGGACCCACCAACCAAGGAGCUGGCAAAACCCGCUAACCAACCAGGAGAACACAGACCCGCCGUUUCCUCUCCCUCGCCGGCCUCGGCGGAGAUUCCAGGCCCUAUAGAAACCAGGACGUCCCUUAGCGCCACCGCCUCACAUGCCAGUGCUGCCGGGAACCCAGCGAUAUCCGCACCAGCGGAGAAGGUUCCAGGCUGCCGGCGGCGGCGCGGAGAGCGGGAAGAGAGGCUCGGAGGAAGCCCCGGGCGUGGCGUGGUCAGGCUCCGAGAGCGGCCGGGAUGCGGCCACACCGGCCUGGUAAACUCGUACCUCUUAGGAUCUUGCUCCCGGACUCAUUCCCUUCCCCACCCCCUAUUUUAAAGUUUUAUUUGGGUCGUCUGUAUCAAUUUAGAACGAGAUAAAUUAAGACAAAGAAAGUAAAAUAAAUCGAAAUAAAAUAUA
rnacentral:antisense_RNA from 1 species